ACGUAGGGUGCAAGCGUUAAUCGGAAUUACUGGGCGUAAAGCGUGCGCAGGCGGUUAUAUAAGACAGAUGUGAAAUCCCCGGGCUCAACCUGGGACCUGCAUUUGUGACUGCAUAGCUAGAGUGUGUCAGAGGGGGGUGGAAUUCCACGUGUAGCAGUGAAAUGCGUAGAGAUGUGGAGGAACACCGAUGGCGAAGGCAGCCCCCUGGGAUAACACUGACGCUCAUGCUCGAAAGCGUGGGGAGCAAACAGGAUUAGAUACCCUGGUAGUCCACGCCCUAAACGAUGUCUACUAGUUGUCGGGCCUUAAUUGGCUUGGUAACGCAGCUAACGCGUGAAGUAGACCGCCUGGGGAGUACGGUCGCAAGAUUA
rnacentral:rRNA from 1 species